rnacentral:rRNA from 1 species
CAGUCGCCACGGGAAUACGGAGGGGGCUAGCGUUGUUCGGAAUUACUGGGCGUAAAGCGCACGUAGGCGGCUUGGUAAGUUAGAGGUGAAAGCCCAGGGCUCAACCCUGGAAUUGCCUUUAAGACUGCCGAGCUAGUAGGUGAGAGAGGUAAGUGGAAUUCCGAGUGUAGAGGUGAAAUUCGUAGAUAUUCGGAAGAACACCAGUGGCGAAGGCGGCUUACUGGCUCAUUCUAGACGCUGAGGUGCGAAAGCGUGGGGAGCAAACAGGAUUAGAGACCCGUGUAGUCCCUGUCUCUUAUAC